rnacentral:tRNA from 1 species
AAAAAGAUAAGCUAAAUUAAGCUUUUGGGUUCAUACCUCAUUUAUAAAGGUUUUAACCCUUUUCUUUUUA